UGCGUAGGCGGGCUAAUAAGUCAGUGGUGAAAUCUCUCGGCUCAACCGGGAAACUGCCAUUGAUACUGUUAGUCUUGAGUUCGGUUGAGGUAGGCGGAAUGUGUAAUGUAGCGGUGAAAUGCUUAGAUAUUACACAGAACACCAAUUGCGUAGGCAGCUUACUAGACCGACACUGACGCUGAGGCACGAAAGCGUGGGGAGCGAACAGGAUUAGAUACCUGGUAGUCC
rnacentral:rRNA from 1 species